AGACUUGUUCUGUUGGCUGCCAGGGCAAAACACAGUGUCCAAAAGAGGACAAGAGUAAACCCACCGGCCGGACAGGGGCUGUAAAGCCAGCCAGGCCUGGGGUCAACAUUCCCUCUACUACCUGCCCCCAAUCCCCCAAUUACAUAGCUAUAUGAUCCUGGGCAAAUUUCUUAGAACACUAAGAAUCUGUUUAGUUUUUUAUAAAUUGAGAAGAAACACCUACAGCACUGGACUGCUCUAAGGCUUAACUGUGACAUACAAAGCACCUUGAAUGGUGCCUGGACACUAGAGCAGACUGCUACUGGGUGUGAAUUAUGCUAAUGUCUCUGGACACCACUGGCAGCUGUCCAACACGGUCACAAGGCAGCCUGUCAAGAACAUGGACACUGGAAAGAGCAUCUGGAUGUAAACCUAGGCCCUGACCUUUCUCUAGUGUUGUGCUGGACAAGCAACUUGACCUUGAUGGACACUGACGUUCUUGUCUAUUUAGUCCACAUUCCUGGCAGCUGAUUCACCCAGAGCACCUCUUACAGGCUGCAGUGAAGUAACAUCUAUUGUACUGUAACCAUCUCUUCCAUUAGACUGGGCACUCACGGUGGAAUGAAAUCAAGUCUCUGGGUUCCCCACAGUAUACCACAUGCACACCUAGGUGGUCGAUAAGAGGGUGAAAUAAAUCAAGAUAAAAGUCAUGCGCUGGAGAGGUGUAAAAAGAGAAAGAACACAGAAAGUAGUAGUAGGGUAUGCAGAAUAUGCAAGUUAAAGACAACUAGGUCAGGAUCCAGAAUUUAGAAGUCACUAAGGAGGGUUCCUAGCCCUACAGAUACCAGCAAAGGCCACAUUUGAGGUGAAUAUGAGCAGACUACAAGUUCUACUUAGGAAGCACCCCUCGAGAGUUUAUACUAUAAAAAGCCUUACCCAACGCAACCCCAAUUAACCAAAGCUCUCAAUUAAGGAAGGGCUGCUUCUGUCUCCUGGGGCUGGUACCUAAAAUCCCCAAUGCACAUAAAAAGUAGUCGGUCAGGAGCAAGAAGUCUGUGUGGUUGCCCCAAGUCAUUCAAGAGUAGAGCAGAGAGCAGGUGGGGUCCCUGGCAGCUGAGACACACAGAAGGAACCAACAGAAAUCAGCAGUGCCACAAGCACUGAUCAAUAUACAACUAAAAACAAAGAGGAGCCAUUAGUUUCUUUCUUUUUUUUUGGAGACAGUCUUGCUCUGUCGCCCAGGCUGGAGUGCACUGAUGCGAUCUCAGCUCACUGCAGCCUCUGCCUCCCGGGUUCAAGUGAUUCUCCUGCUUCAGCCUCUUGAGUAGCUGGGAUUACAGGCGCCCGCCACCACGCCCAGCUGAUUUUUUGUAUUUUUAGUAGAGACAGGGUUUCACCACUUUGGCCAGGCUGGUCUCCACCUCCUGACCUGAGGUGAUCCGUCCACCUCGGCCUCCCAAAGUGUUGGGAUUACAGGUGUGAGCCACCGCACACGGCCUGAGCCAUUAGUUUCUGAGUAAAAUAUGAUUAUGCCCAUUUUACAACCAAGAAAAACAGAAGAACCUAGAACUUAAGCUACCUGUCCCAGCAGUACCCCACAGCAGUUAAGAAAGCAUACUCAAGUUUGAAUGUCUGGCCUUGAAUCCUGACUUGGUUACUUGCUUAGCUGUUUUACAUUGGGCAAUUUCACUAACCUUGGUACCUCAGUUGCCUCACCUAUAAAAUGAAGAUAAUCACGGUACUGACUUCACCUGAUACAUAGCAACCUGCAAGUUUCAGCUCUUAUUUACAGGGUGAAACUGGGAUUAAAACCUUCUGACUCUGA
ensembl:lncRNA novel transcript, antisense to STK35